UACGUAGGUGGCAAGCGUUGUCCGGAUUUACUGGGCGUAAAGAGCGCGCCGGCGGUCGUGCAAGUCGCGUGUGAAAGCCCCCGGCUCAACUGGGGAGGGUCACGCGAUACUGCUCGACUCGAAGGCAGGAGAGGGAAGUGGAAUUCCCGGUGUAGUGGUGAAAUGCGUAGAUAUCGGGAGGAACACCAGUGGCGAAGGCGACUUCCUGGCCUGUUCUUGACGCUGAGGCGCGAAAGCUAGGGUAGCAAACGGG
rnacentral:rRNA from 1 species